rnacentral:lncRNA from 1 species
UGUAGCACAUAAAUUCUCAAAACAACAAUCUCAAUGUGGGUUAAUGACCCUUAUAGCGAUACUUAAUCAAAGCAUUUCAACAUUUAUGCUUUAUAUCACAAGCAUGCAUAAUUUAUACGAAAAUCUGAAAAAUUUCAGCCUUUAAUCAUAACAAUAAUCUCAAACUCAUGGAGUUUAUUUUCUAAACAUUCAAAAUAAUCAUAGUAUCUUGAACAACAACAUAGGA